rnacentral:snRNA from 1 species
AAGUGUUACAGCUCUUUCAGAAUCUGUCUAGCAGGUUUUUCAGUUUUUACUGAAAUCACCACC